UGCUGCGGCGUGGAUUAGUGGCGAACGGGUGAGUAACGCGUGAGUAACCUGCCCUUGACUCUGGGAUAAGCCCGGGAAACUGGGUCUAAUACUGGAUAUGCACCGUGGACCGCAUGGUUCUUGGUGGAAAGAUUUUUUGGUCAAGGAUGGACUCGCGGCCUAUCAGCUUGUUGGUGAGGUAAUGGCUCACCAAGGCGACGACGGGUAGCCGGCCUGAGAGGGUGACCGGCCACACUGGGACUGAGACACGGCCCAGACUCCUACGGGAGGCAGCAGUGGGGAAUAUUGCACAAUGGGCGAAAGCCUGAUGCAGCGACGCCGCGUGAGGGAUGACGGCCUUCGGGUUGUAAACCUCUUUCAGUAGGGAAGAAGCGAAAGUGACGGUACCUGCAGAAGAAGCGCCGGCUAACUACGUGCCAGCAGCCGCGGUAAUACGUAGGGCGCAAGCGUUAUCCGGAAUUAUUGGGCGUAAAGAGCUCGUAGGCGGUUUGUCGCGUCUGCCGUGAAAGUCCGAGGCUCAACCUCGGAUCUGCGGUGGGUACGGGCAGACUAUAGUGAUGUAGGGGAGACUGGAAUUCCUGGUGUAGCGGUGAAAUGCGCAGAUAUCAGGAGGAACACCGAUGGCGAAGGCAGGUCUCUGGGCAUCUACUGACGCUGAGGAGCGAAAGCAUGGGGAGCGAACAGGAUUAGAUACCCUGGUAGUCCAUGCCGUAAACGUUGGGCACUAGGUGUGGGGGACAUUCCACGUUUUCCGCGCCGUAGCUAACGCAUUAAGUGCCCCGCCUGGGGAGUACGGCCGCAAGGCUAAAACUCAAAGGAAUUGACGGGGGCCCGCACAAGCGGCGGAGCAUGCGGAUUAAUUCGAUGCAACGCGAAGAACCUUACCCAGGCUUGACAUGUGCCAGACCGCCAUAGAAAUAUGGUUUCCCCUUUUGGGGCUGGUUCACAGGUGGUGCAUGGUUGUCGUCAGCUCGUGUCCUGAAAUGUUGGGUUAAGUCCCGCAACGAGCCCACCCUCGUUCUAGUUGCAGCACUUAUGGUGGGACUCAAG
rnacentral:rRNA from 1 species